CAUGAGACGACCAGUUUCCCUUCACCAGAUAAAGGUGAAGGACAACAAGGAAGGCAAGGUGGUGUCCAAAAAGAGCCUGCUGGAGUGCCAGUCUCUUGCCAAGGCCAAAAUCCCUCAAGUGCUGAGUAAGUUUUUCUCAAUCUGUGAUGUCACUGUUUUUACACACUUAUAGAGAUGUAUAGAAUGCAUUAUGGAGUGGGAUUAUGAAGCUGCCUUUUUUUAUUUUCAUGUUCACAGAAACAUUGGAAGAAACAAGGACACAGAGGAAUCAGUACAGGUUUUAUGGGUACCUGUGUGCCUACUUUACAUCCAUAUACGGCCACAGACCAGGCCUAUAUAAAAACAUGUUGGUGAAAGAGGUGGAGGAGGCAAAAUGUGACCAGUCUGGGGUGUACCUGAUCAAUGUGGGGGAACACAAAACAAAUCGGGAGUACGGCAUGGUCCAGAUGUCGCUGACAAAGGAGGAGUACAGCUGGUUUUCCGACUUCCUCAAAUUCAAGCACUGUCUCUUAGGGGGAAAGAAGGCCCAGCACUUCUUUUUCAAUUCAACAAACACUCAGAUGAAGAACCUGCCUGCCUACCUGAGGGAGGUGUGGAAGGAGAUGGGUCUGCCCGAAUGUCCUUCAUUCACUGACAUGAGGACCUCCAUUGUCACUCAUGUAGGUCAGAUUAGAUAGGAAUCUAAUUAAUGUAAGAUCCUAUUCUAUUGUUGUCUGAAGUAAUAUCAAUAAUAUCAUAUAUUUGUGUGUGUGUGUGUGUGUGUGUGUGUGUGUGUCUUACAGGUAAAAAACAUGCUCCCAAAGGUUGACAGGGAAAGGGUGGCCAACUUCAUGUGCCACAACAUCCAGACGGCAGACAAAUAUUAUGCCAUGAAUUUAAAUCCAACCCAAGCAAAUGAAACCAGGGCACUCUUUGAGGCUGCACUGAAGGGGGAAGAUAACACAGUCGCCGCAGAGAACCAGCCCUCCACCUCAGGAGAAAGAAAGCAGAAGGUGAGAGAGGAUGCCUCCCUCUCCGACGGGAGCACCACCCCUGAAGAGACCAAGGUGAUGUACCAGGAGUCUGGCACGUCCGCCGGUGACUCGGAAGAGGAGGAAGAGGAUGAAGAUGAGGAACAGAUGGCCAGACAACUUCCAGUAAGAUCAGCUAUUCUGACAGGACACAUUUGAUUAUCAAAAUGUACUUGUAAACUAUGUAACAGUCAAGUGUGAAUUCUGAGAUAUAUCUAAUUUCUUGUGUUUGCUCUGUCAGGAGACACCUUCCAAGGUGACCAAUCCUCAGGUGGAGAUGGAACUUACCCCAAAGAGGAAGCGGAGCAUCUGCACACGCCGCAUGGAGGUCGCCAUCAGCCCCAUGCUAGUCUCACCCCUCAAAGUGAGGCUCAAGUCGCCCCCCCCACCAGUCCCUCAUUGUCACAUUAAAAGGGAUGCAACAACUAAACUCAAAUAAAGUCAGACUAAAAAAUGCCAUUGCCUCAAGGAGGUUAAAGCUGCAGGAGAAGGUGCAAAAGAGAGGAGGGGACCCCUGAUGCAGCUCGAAGGAAGGGGAGCCGACCAACAACAAGACUUCCUCUUCCAAAUAGUCAUGUAGAUUGUUUUAGACUCUCACAUUUAUACUGUUCUGAUUUUGUUUGGUUUGAUUUUCAAUUUUGGUGUGCUUGUUUACAUUUUAGAAGUGUAAAAUGUGUGUAAUUUAGUCUAACUGUCUGUUCAAUUUUCUAUUUUGGUGUGAUUCUUUAUAAUGUAAAGGUUUGUUCUGUUUUAUUAAAUAACUAGUUUAGUAAUUAUUUGUGUUGUGCUUUCUUUAAGGUUAUAUUCUAACUGUCUGUUCAAUUUUCUAUUUUGGUGUGAUUCUUUAUAAUGUAAAGGUUUGUUCUGUUUUAUUAAAUAACUAGUUGAGUAAUUAUUUGUGUUGUGCUUUCUUUAAGGU
ensembl:lncRNA